AUCCAGCUGACGAGUCCCAAAUAGGACGAAAUGCCCGUCCUGGAU
rfam:Schistosoma rodhaini strain Burundi genome assembly, scaffold: SROB_scaffold0000360